GGAAAAGGAAAGCAUGAGAAGCACACUACAGAGACUGAUCUAGAGAAGUUAUCACUGUGCUGGGUGGGAGUCAUUCAUCUGUCUGCUCUGGGAGUUACAGAUUCACAUGAAGUCCCAGGAUAGCUUCUGUCGGCUUUGGUGGCCUGUUGCAGCAGCCAGCAGCAGGAAACUUGAGGAGCUAUCAUCUCAGGAAUGAACGGGGCCACAUCAAUAAGGAGACCUGUAAUGAUGUGGCUCUAAAUGUCAGCUUUAAAAGCCUGGGAAUUGAUAGAGGAAGAGAGAAGAAAGGGUGUCCCAGUUUUCCACAUGCCGAAUGAUUCAGCAAAAUAAUGUGAGCAAGUCAAGACUCUGGAAAAUAUUUUUAGAUGCCAAACAAAAACCUGGAGGUAAAUCUCUGCUACACUGUCAGUUAGGUUCUUAGCAUCCAGUUUGAUUUGUUGUACUUUAAAAUGAAUGGAAGAAAUUAUAAGGAGCACAGAUAACUACAAAUAAUUCAAGGUUUGGG
rnacentral:lncRNA from 10 species